AUUGAACGCUGGCGGCAGGCCUAACACAUGCAAGUCGAGCGGAUGAAGGGAGCUUGCUCCUGGAUUCAGCGGCGGACGGGUGAGUAAUGCCUAGGAAUCUGCCUGGUAGUGCGGGAUAACGUCCGGAAACGGGCGCUAAUACCGCAUACGUCCUGAGGGAGAAAGUGGGGGAUCUUCGGACCUCACGCUAUCAGAUGAGCCUCGGUCGGAUUAGCUAGUUGUUGGGGUAAAGGCCUACCAAGGCGACGAUCCGUAACUGGCCUGAGUGGAUGAUCAGCCACACUGGAACUGAGACACGGUCCAGACUCCUACGGGAGGCAGCAGUGGGGAAUAUUGGACAAUGGGCGAAAGCCUGAUCCAGCCAUGCCGCGUGUGUGAAGAAGGUCUUCGGAUUGUAAAGCCCUUUAAGUUGGGAGGAAGCGCAGUAAGUUAAUACCUUGCUGUUUUGACGUUACCAACAGAAUAAGCACCGGCUAACUUCGUG
rnacentral:rRNA from 1 species